CAGCCGCCGCGGGAAUACGGAGGGUGCAAGCGUUAAUCGGAAUUACUGGGCGUAAAGCGCGCGUAGGUGGUUUGUUAAGUUGGAUGUGAAAUCCCCGGGCUCAACCUGGGAACUGCAUCCAAAACUGGCAAGCUAGAGUAUGGUAGAGGGUGGUGGAAUUUCCUGUGUAGCGGUGAAAUGCGUAGAUAUAGGAAGGAACACCAGUGGCGAAGGCGACCACCUGGACUGAUACUGACACUGAGGUGCGAAAGCGUGGGGAGCAAACAGGAUUAGAUACCCCAGUAGUCCCUGUCUCUUAUAC
rnacentral:rRNA from 1 species